GACGAACGCUGGCGGCGUGCUUAACACAUGCAAGUCGAACGGAAAGGCCCUGCUUUUGUGGGGUGCUCGAGUGGCGAACGGGUGAGUAACACGUGAGUAACCUGCCCUUGACUUUGGGAUAACUUCAGGAAACUGGGGCUAAUACCGGAUAGGAGCUCCUGCUGCAUGGUGGGGGUUGGAAAGUUUCGGCGGUUGGGGAUGGACUCGCGGCUUAUCAGCUUGUUGGUGGGGUAGUGGCUUACCAAGGCUUUGACGGGUAGCCGGCCUGAGAGGGUGACCGGCCACAUUGGGACUGGGAUACGGCCCAGACGCCUACGGGAGGCAGCGGUGGGGAAUAUUGCACAAUGGGCGGAAGCCUGAUGCAGCAACGCCGCGUGCGGGAUGACGGCCUUCGGGUUGUAAACCGCUUUCGCCUGUGACGAAGCGUGAGUGACGGUAAUGGGUAAAGAAACACCGGCUAACUACGU
rnacentral:rRNA from 1 species